rnacentral:sRNA from 1 species
AACGUGAUGCUCCUUCGUCAGAUG